rnacentral:tRNA from 1 species
GGGGAUGUGGUCCAACGGAUUGAGGGCGCAAGGCUACGAACCUUGAGAUCAGAGUUCAAUUCUCUGCAUCCCUUCCA